GGUUGUUGCUAGGGAGUCUGAAAGAGCAGAGAGGGCAACAUUGGUUACACAGGAGAAGCUCCAGUUAGCUGGUAAUCGUUUCAAGCCAAUUAGGUUGCCGGAGCUUUGGAUUCGCCCCCCUUUUGGUGGACGUGGGAGGAAGUUACCUGGGACUCUGGAAGCACAUUUGAAUGGAUUUCGUUAUGCUACCACUAGAUCAGAG
rnacentral:misc_RNA from 1 species